GGGUUGUGAGGUUAAGCGACUAAGCGUACACGGUGGAUGCCCUGGCAGUCAGAGGCGAUGAAGGACGUGCUAAUCUGCGAUAAGCGUCGGUAAGGUGAUAUGAACCGUUAUAACCGGCGAUUUCCGAAUGGGGAAACCCAGUGUGUUUCGACACACUAUCAUUAACUGAAUCCAUAGGUUAAUGAGGCGAACCGGGGGAACUGAAACAUCUAAGUACCCCGAGGAAAAGAAAUCAACCGAGAUUCCCCCAGUAGCGGCGAGCGAACGGGGAGCAGCCCAGAGCCUGAAUCAGUAUGUGUGUUAGUGGAAGCGUCUGGAAAGGCGCGCGAUACAGGGUGACAGCCCCGUACACAAAAAUGCACAUGCUGUGAGCUCGAUGAGUAGGGCGGGACACGUGGUAUCCUGUCUGAAUAUGGGGGGACCAUCCUCCAAGGCUAAAUACUCCUGACUGACCGAUAGUGAACCAGUACCGUGAGGGAAAGGCGAAAAGAACCCCGGCGAGGGGAGUGAAAAAGAACCUGAAACCGUGUACGUACAAGCAGUGGGAGCACGCUUAGGCGUGUGACUGCGUACCUUUUGUAUAAUGGGUCAGCGACUUAUAUUCUGUAGCAAGGUUAACCGAAUAGGGGAGCCGAAGGGAAACCGAGUCUUAACUGGGCGUUAAGUUGCAGGGUAUAGACCCGAAACCCGGUGAUCUAGCCAUGGGCAGGUUGAAGGUUGGGUAACACUAACUGGAGGACCGAACCGACUAAUGUUGAAAAAUUAGCGGAUGACUUGUGGCUGGGGGUGAAAGGCCAAUCAAACCGGGAGAUAGCUGGUUCUCCCCGAAAGCUAUUUAGGUAGCGCCUCGUGAAUUCAUCUCCGGGGGUAGAGCACUGUUUCGGCAAGGGGGUCAUCCCGACUUACCAACCCGAUGCAAACUGCGAAUACCGGAGAAUGUUAUCACGGGAGACACACGGCGGGUGCUAACGUCCGUCGUGAAGAGGGAAACAACCCAGACCGCCAGCUAAGGUCCCAAAGUCAUGGUUAAGUGGGAAACGAUGUGGGAAGGCCCAGACAGCCAGGAUGUUGGCUUAGAAGCAGCCAUCAUUUAAAGAAAGCGUAAUAGCUCACUGGUCGAGUCGGCCUGCGCGGAAGAUGUAACGGGGCUAAACCAUGCACCGAAGCUGCGGCAGCGACGCUGAUGCGUUGUUGGGUAGGGGAGCGUUCUGUAAGCCUGCGAAGGUGUGCUGUGAGGCAUGCUGGAGGUAUCAGAAGUGCGAAUGCUGACAUAAGUAACGAUAAAGCGGGUGAAAAGCCCGCUCGCCGGAAGACCAAGGGUUCCUGUCCAACGUUAAUCGGGGCAGGGUGAGUCGACCCCUAAGGCGAGGCCGAAAGGCGUAGUCGAUGGGAAACAGGUUAAUAUUCCUGUACUUGGUGUUACUGCGAAGGGGGGACGGAGAAGGCUAUGUUGGCCGGGCGACGGUUGUCCCGGUUUAAGCGUGUAGGCUGGUUUUCCAGGCAAAUCCGGAAAAUCAAGGCUGAGGCGUGAUGACGAGGCACUGCGGUGCUGAAGCAACAAAUGCCCUGCUUCCAGGAAAAGCCUCUAAGCAUCAGGUAACAUCAAAUCGUACCCCAAACCGACACAGGUGGUCAGGUAGAGAAUACCAAGGCGCUUGAGAGAACUCGGGUGAAGGAACUAGGCAAAAUGGUGCCGUAACUUCGGGAGAAGGCACGCUGAUAUGUAGGUGAAGUCCCUCGCGGAUGGAGCUGAAAUCAGUCGAAGAUACCAGCUGGCUGCAACUGUUUAUUAAAAACACAGCACUGUGCAAACACGAAAGUGGACGUAUACGGUGUGACGCCUGCCCGGUGC
rnacentral:rRNA from 1 species